CCCUUAGACGUUCUGGGCCGCACGCGCGCUACACUGACCAGUGCAACAAGCAUCCGUCCUUGGCCGACAGGCCCGGGCAAUCUUUGAACGCUGGUCGUGAUGGGGAUAGACUUUUGCAAUUUUUGGUCUUCAACGAGGAAUUCCUAGUAAACGCAAGUCAUCAACUUGCAUUGAUUACGUCCCUGCCCUUUGUACACACCGCCCGUCGCACCUACCGAUUGAAUGGUCCGGUGAAGCCUCCGGAUUGGCGCGCACCUCGGUGCCGCCGAGAAGUUGGCUAGACCUUACCAUUUAGAGGAAGGUGAAGUCGUAACA
rnacentral:rRNA from 1 species